UACGUAGGUGGCAAGCGUUUGUCCGGAUUUAUUGGGUUUAAAGGGUGCGUAGGCGGUCUUUUAAGUCAGUGCUGAAAUAUCCCGGCUUAACCGGGAGGGUGGCAUUGAUACUGAAGGACUUGAGUACAGUCGAGGUAGGCGGAAUUGACGGUGUAGCGGUGAAAUGCUUAGAUAUCGUCAAGAACACCGAUAGUGUAGACAGCUUACUAGGCUGAAACUGACGCUGAGGCACGAAAGUGUGGGGAUCAAACAGG
rnacentral:rRNA from 1 species